AUUGAACGCUGGCGGCAGGCCUAACACAUGCAAGUCGAGCGGCAGCGGGAAAGUAGCUUGCUACUUUUGCCGGCGAGCGGCGGACGGGUGAGUAAUGCCUGGGAAAUUGCCCAGUCGAGGGGGAUAACAGUUGGAAACGACUGCUAAUACCGCAUACGCCCUACGGGGGAAAGCAGGGGACCUUCGGGCCUUGCGCGAUUGGAUAUGCACAGGUGGGAUUAGCUAGUUGGUGAGGUAAUGGCUCACCAAGGCGACGAUCCCUAGCUGGUCUGAGAGGAUGAUCAACCACACUGGAACUGAGACACGGUCCAGACUCCUACGGGAGGCGGCAGUGGGGAAUAUUGCACAAUGGGGGAAACCCUGAUGCAGCCAUGCCGCGUGUGUGAAGAAGGCCUUCGGGUUGUAAAGCACUUUCAGCGAGGAGGAAAGGUUGAUGCCUAAUACGUAUCAACUGUGACGUUACUCGCAGAAGAAGCACCGGCUAACUCCGUGCCAGCCGCCGCCGUAA
rnacentral:rRNA from 1 species